rnacentral:rRNA from 1 species
CAGUUUUGGCGGAGCCAUCCUUGGGAUACCACCCUUGUAGUACUGGGACUCUAACCAUAGGCCAUGAAUCUGGUCUUGGGACACUGUCAGGUGGGCAGUUUGACUGGGGCGGUCGCCUCCCAAAAGGUAACGGAGGCGCUCAAAGGUUCUCUCAGUACGGUCGGAAAUCGUACGUAGAGUGUACAGGCAAAAGAGAGCUUGAUUGCAAGACAUACAGGUCGAGCAAGGAUGAAAAUCGGACUUAGUGAUCCGGUGGUUCUGCGUGGAAGGGCCAUCGCUCAACGGAUAAAAGCUACCCUGGGGAUAACAGGCUUAUCUCCCCAAAGAGUCCACAUCGACGGGGAGGUUUGGCACCUCGAUGUCGGCUCAUCACAUCCUGGGGCUGUAGUAGGUCCCAAGGGUUGGGCUGUUCGCCCAUUAAAGUGGUACGCGAGCUGGGUUCAGAACGUCGUGAGACAGUUCGGUCCCUAUCCGUCGCAGGCGUAGGAAAUUUGAGAAGACCUGUCCUUAGUACGAGAGGACCGGGAUGGACGUACCUCUGGUGUACCAGUUGUUCUGCCAAGGGCAUGGCUGGGUAGCUAUGUACGGAAUGGAUAAGCGCUGAAAGCAUCUAAGCGCGAAGCCAACUUCAAGAUAAGAUUUCCCACCGCAAGGGUAAGACCCCAGAAAGACUAUCUGGUUG